rnacentral:lncRNA from 1 species
ACACACACACACACACACACACACACACAGGCUCUGGUUUAAUGUUGCAGCUGAUCGAUGAGUCUGAAAUAUAAAUCUGUUGGUGGGGACGACAGUUAUCAGACAGACGCUGAAACAUGGCCGACUGUGGCGUUACGACAGUCCUGAAAAUCGCAGAGACAGAAACUGAGACCCUUCAGAGGAUCGGAGUCUUCUUCUUCUUCUUUACGCUCGUCAGUGUCACUGAAUCAAACACCAAUCAACAACACUGGGAGAGAAGAGAGCUGCCAGCGCCCCCUGCAGGCUUACCAGCUGAGGUUAGUCUCCUUCACUCUUCAUAUUUAAGCAGAGAGUCUGAAAUACAACUGCAAAGCAGUCAUAAUGUCCAUGUACUUAAACUGUAUUAUAGCUGCAGUACCACCAGUGUCCACUAGUGUCCUGUGGUGAGUCAGUCCUGAAGAGAGGCCUCUCUAAGAAAACAGAUUCAGCAGGCGUAACCAAUGGGCAAAGGAGCACCUGCACAGUUAAUAAUACUGCUACUACAACUACUACUACUACUACUAAUAAUAAUAAUAAUAAUUUAAAAACAUAAGUUUACAAAGUGCUUUGACAAACAGUCGUAAAGCAUCAGCACAUGGAGAUAAAAACAGAAAAAAAAGAAAAGCUUAGUUAAAAACAAGACCUCCAAAUUGAAUUUCAUUUUUCAUAAGGAACCCAGACAAUACAAUAACCCUACAAGAUAAAAUAAGACCAUGAGGACCAAAAUAAAAAGAUAAAAUAGGUUAGAAAAGAAAUGUAAUAAUAAAAAAGGGGUGUAACCAGUCACUGAAUUUUAACUAUAUUUUAAACUGAACUGGACUUUUUAAAAUCAAUCUAAACUUUGACUUCUGUACAUAAUUAAAUUUUUAACUUUUACUGUAAAUUGAAUCUUGACUUGGGUGGCACAGUGGUGUAGUGGUUAGCACUGUCGCCUCACAGCAAGAAGGUCCUGGGUUCAAAUCUGGGUCAGGGCAUUUCUGUGUGGAGUUUGCAUGUUCUCCCUGUCUGCAUGGGUUUACUCUGGGUACUCCGGUUUCCUCCCACAUCCCAAAAACAUGCAGAAGUGGGGAUAGGUUAAUUUGCCACUUCCAAAUUGCCCAUAGGUGUGAAUGUGAGCGUGAAUGGUUGUUCGUCUUUAUAUGUCAGCCCUGGGAUGAACUGGCGACUUGUCCAGAGUGUCCCCUGCCUUCGCCCAUAGAUGCUGGGAUAGGCUCCAGCCCCCCCGCGACCCCGGGAACGGGAUAAGCGGUAGAAAAUGGAUGGAUAAAUCUUGACUUUUUCGCGGUUUUUCGACGUAUUCACUUUAAUGAAAAAUGUUAACAAAGUUCCUCUUCUGGUGUUUUUUUUGUCAUGCCCAGUCCUGUAAAAUGACUUUUCUAUCAUCCCCCAUGAAAGUGUGUUGAAUUUCCAUGUGAGUGCACUGUGGGGAAAAUGGUCUCCAUAAAUGUUACAGCAAAAUAUGUCAGUAAAUGUGGUGGGGUUUAAUUAUUUCAUUGUUAUAACUUUUUAUUUUUUAUAUUAUUAUUAUUAUUAUUAUUAUUAUUAUUAUUAUUAUUAUUAAUACGUGUGUGUGUGUAUAUAUAUUCAACCCAACCUAGAUCAUGGGAUGGUGGGAUGGGUGGAUGGGGGGAGAGGGUAUUUACCCUCUUAAGUACAAUUUUGUACGGCAAAUUAAAUAUGCUUUUUUUUUCUUUUUCAAAAAAAUCUUUUUCACUAUUUCUAUAAUUAUGUUUACUUGACGUUUUAUUAUUACUAUUAUUAUUUGUGUAUAUUUGUGUUCUGUAUUUCCUUUUCUUUUAUUUUGAUUGUAAUUUCGUUUGUUCUCUCAUAUAGGCAUACUAUGAUGGAUCUAAUUUCAUCAUCUUUAUAUUGAUUUAUAUUAUUUGUAUUUUUCCCAGCACUUCUGUUUGUGUAAAAACUAUUUACCUUUUUUGCACUCUUCAAUUUAAAUUAAAAAAGAUCAUAUUCAAAAAAAAAUGUGGUGGGAGAGAACAUUCAGUCCUUUGGUGGUCUUGCACUCAUCUUUCUGCCCCCUCUGUGGUCUUGCAGGUCAACGAUGAUUGUGGAGCCUCAUGGUAACACUCCCACGCUGAGAUGAGAGCUGAAAUGAGAAGAUGAGGAGG